UACGAAGGGGGCGAGCGUUGUUCGGAUUUACUGGGCGUAAAGGGCGCGCAGGCGGCUCAUUUUGUCAGGCGUGAAAGCCCCGGGCUUAACCUGGGAACUGCGUUUGAUACGGAUGGGCUAGAGUUCGGGAGAGGAGCGUGGAAUUCCCAGUGUAGAGGUGAAAUUCGUAGAUAUUGGGAAGAACACCGGUGGCGAAGGCGGCGACCUGGUCCGGGACUGACGCUGAGGCGCGAAAGCGUGGGGAGCAAACAGG
rnacentral:rRNA from 1 species